CAACCCCUGUGACAUACCACUUGUUGCCUCGGCGGAUCAGCCCGCUCCCGGUAAAACGGGACGGCCCGCCAGAGGACCCCUAAACUCUGUUUCUAUAUGUAACUUCUGAGUAAAACCAUAAAUAAAUCAAAACUUUCAACAACGGAUCUCUUGGUUCUGGCAUCGAUGAAGAACGCAGCAAAAUGCGAUAAGUAAUGUGAAUUGCAGAAUUCAGUGAAUCAUCGAAUCUUUGAACGCACAUUGCGCCCGCCAGUAUUCUGGCGGGCAUGCCUGUUCGAGCGUCAUUUCAACCCUCAAGCACAGCUUGGUGUUGGGACUCGCGUUAAUUCGCGUUCCCCAAAUUGAUUGGCGGUCACGUCGAGCUUCCAUAGCGUAGUAGUAAAACCCUCGUUACUGGUAAUCGUCGCGGCCACGCCGUUAAACCCCAACUUCUGAAUGUUGACCUCGGAUCAGGUAGGAAUACCCGCUGAACUUAAGCAUAUCAAUAAGCGGAGGA
rnacentral:rRNA from 1 species